rnacentral:misc_RNA from 1 species
GAUGAAGAACGUAGCGAAAUGCGAUACGUAAUGUGAAUUGCAGAAUUCAGUGAAUCAUCGAGUCUUUGAACGCACAUUGCGCCCCCUGGUAUUCCGGGGGGCAUGCCUGUCCGAGCGUCAUUGCUGCCCUCAAGCACGGCUUGUGUGUUGGGCCUCCGUCCUCCUCCCGGGGGACGGGCCCUAAAGGCAGCGGCGGCACCGCGUCCGGUCCUCGAGCGUAUGGGGCUUCGUCACCCGCUCUUGUAGGCCCGGCCGGCGCUUGCCGACACAUCAAUCUUUUUUCCAGGUUGACCUCGGAUCAGGUAGGGAUACCCGCUGAACUUAAGCAUAUCAAUAAGCGGAGGA